rnacentral:siRNA from 1 species
CCUAUUUAGGCGGGUGUAAGAUA